rnacentral:RNase_P_RNA from 3 species
UCAGCCGGUCGGGCAGCCGCGCCUGUCAUAUGCCGAAAGGCGGCAGGUGAGGAAAGUCCGGGCUUCACGGAAACACGGUGCCGGGUAACGCCCGGCGGGGGCGACCCCAGGGAUAGUGCCACAGAAACCAGACCACCCGUCCGUUCCGCCGCGCAAGCGGCGGACGGGCGCGGAAAGGGUGAAAAGGUAGGGUAAGAGCCUACCGCGUGCGCAGCAAUGUGCAUGGCAGGGUAAACCACACCGGAAGCAAGACCGAGUAGGGACGGCGCGCCGGUCCGCAAGGGCCGGCAAUCGGUUUCCAGAUCAGCCGUCCGGGUGGGUUGCAAGAGGCGGGUGGCGACAUCCGUCCCAGAUGAAUGGCUGCCGCGCCGGGCGUGAAGCCCGGCCAUACAGAACCCGGCUUACAGACCGGCUGACAAU